rnacentral:rRNA from 1 species
AGGGUUUGAUCCUGGCUCAGAACGUACGCUGGCGGCACGCCUAACACAUGCAAGUCGAACGAAGUAGCAAUACUUAGUGGCAGACGGGUGAGUAACAUGUGGGUAUCUGCCCUUUGGCCUGGAAUAACACGAGGAAACUUGUGCUAAUACCGGAUAAGUCUUUACGGAGAAAGCUUUAUGCACCAUUGGAUGAGCCCGCACUUGAUUAGUUUGUUGGUGGGGUAAUGGCCUACCAAGACUGUGAUCAAUAGCUGAUUUGAGAGGAUGAUCAGCCACAUUGGGACUGAGACACGGCCCAAACUCCUACGGGAGGCAGCAGUGGGGAAUCUUGCACAAUGGAGGAAACUCUGAUGCAGCGAUGCCGCGUGAGUGAAGAAGGCCCUUGGGUUGUAAAGCUCUUUCGUCGGGGAAGAAAAUGACUGUACCCGAAUAAGAAGGUCCGGCUAACUUCGUGCCAGCAGCCGCGGUAAUACGAAGGGACCUAGCGUAGUUCGGAAUUACUGGGCUUAAAGAGUUCGUAGGUGGUUGAAAAAGUUAGUGGUGAAAUCCCAGAGCUUAACUCUGGAACUGCCAUUAAAACUUUUCAGCUAGAGUAUGAUAGAGGAAAGCAGAAUUUCUAGUGUAGAGGUGAAAUUCGUAGAUAUUAGAAAGAAUACCAAUUGCGAAGGCAGCUUUCUGGAUCAUUACUGACACUGAGGAACGAAAGCAUGGGUAGCGAAGAGGAUUAGAUACCCUCGUAGUCCAUGCCGUAAACGAUGUGUGUUAGACGUUGGAAAUUUAUUUUCAGUGUCGCAGCGAAAGCGAUAAACACACCGCCUGGGGAGUACGACCGCAAGGUUAAAACUCAAAUGAAUUGACGGGGACCCGCACAAGUAGUGGAGCAUGUGGUUUAAUUCGAAGAUACGCGCAGAACCUUACCAACACUUGACAUGUUCGUCGCGACUCUAAGAGAUUAGAGUUUUCGGUUCGGCCGGACGAAACACAGGUGCUGCAUGGCUGUCGUCAGCUCGUGUCGUGAGAUGUUGGGUUAAGUCCCGCAACGAGCGCAACCCUCACUUUUAGUUGCCAUCAUUAAGUUGGGCACUCUGAAAGAACUGCCAGUGAUAAGCUGGAGGAAGGUGGGGAUGACGUCAAGUCCUCAUGGCCCUUACGUGUUGGGCUACACACGUGCUACAAUGGUAUCUACAACAGGAAGCAAGACUGCGAGGUCAAGCAAAUCCUUAAAAGAUACCUCAGUUCGGAUUGCACUCUGCAACUCGAGUGCAUGAAGCUGGAAUUACUAGUAAUCGUGGAUCAGCGUGCCACGGUGAAUGCGUUCCCGGGUCUUGUACACACCGCCCGUCACACCAUGGGAGUUGGUUCUACCUUAAGGCAAGGUUUCAAACCCUUGACCACGGUAUAGUCAGCGACUGGGGUGAAGUCGUAACAAGGUAGCCGUA